GUUUAUUGUUUACGUAUGGGAAUAAAAAUAAUUCUUUCAGUCGAUGUGUGAAUGCUCGCAUUGUCAUGGUGAAGAGUGAUCCGUUUUCGGGAGUUGGUUUACCUGAUAUCUUGAAAUACAACUGGCAAACAAAUAGUAAUCUACCACCCAGAAUUUACUGUACAGCAUUGUUCUAGUGUACAGCAUUGUUCUAUUGUUGUUUCAAUCUUACGAUAGGUCACAUGAUGAUCUUGCACUAACAGUUUGCGCACAGUAUCAAUCGUUUCGGGGACAACAACUGAUUUUGGACGACCUUUACGAAAUUCGCCUUGGAGUAAUCUACGACCUCGAUUGAAUUCACCAUACAAUCGAUAACCACUGAUCCUUGAUUGAGCUUUAGGAAGAUAUUUCGGCGUCAAAUUAUCUGAAACCAAAAACCAAUGAAAUUUAGUAUAACGAUAGAUGAAUACAGGUAAUGAUCGAAGGAAUAGUGAAAGUUUGGAUUUUUGAGAAAAUGGCGGCUUCACAAAUAAAAAAAAUUAAUUUAUUGUGUGAAAAUUUACAAUUCAAAGUGAAUUAAAAAAAUGGAAAUUAUUGUCAAAA